CAAAUUUCGAGAAUCGCGCGCGCAUUCGUCGCGACGAAUUCGAUUGAUCAUUUCGUCAUGGAGAACCGAGGACCGAGGGUAGAACUGUUAAUAGAGGAUUAAUCUAAUGUGCGUAAAAUCGUGAAAUUUUAUCUCGCACUUUCUGGUCACCCCGCGAAAUCCGUGAUCCAGUGGUUGACGAGCUCGAUCUGACACUUUUAUCGUCAAUUAACACAGAAGCCUUUUGAAGCGACGUAGAAACUGGAGAUGUAAUUCACCGCCGAAAUGGUAAAUAAGAGCGCAUAUAAUGUGUGUCUCGCAUCGAGGUCGCCACAGGAAGUUCACCAUCUGACCAUUCAAGCUGUACGGAAUUUUCGAGACGCUUUGUGGACCACGCCUAUGAAGGAGCGCAUGCAUACUCUUCUACUACCUAUCCUAAGAAGCCAAACCACCGUGAAUCAGUCCAACGGUUUUCCAAACGCACAUACCCAAAGGUACCAUCGCUCUCACGUAGAAGCCGCGAGGCAUUUUUCGAAUGCAUAUCGAGUAGAGGACAUCCUUCGCUUCUGGAACCGAAUAUAUAUUCUUCCUUCAACAAGGAUCCUACAAAUUCUCCCAAACACACAAAGAACGGAGGAACAUCUGCGUGCAACGAAUUUCGAAGUUACGAACUUUUCGGCGUUUACCAAAAGGAUAUGCCGUCAGUGACGAGCGAGCUUACGGCAAGAAUUCCGAGGAAGCCUUUCGGAAAGAAGGAAGGAAGGAAGGAAGGAAAGAAAGAAGGAAGAAAAGAAGGUAGGAAGAAAGAAAUUGGCUGGUUAUACUGGGCGCGAUGGUUUUGCGCUAUCGGUCUACGUCCUACGAUCUAUUUCGCUGCUCUCGAAGAGAUUGCCAUUGCGUCUGCAUUACUCCGGGGCUCUCCCGUGUUAUCGGGGCCUUUGGCCCGGGGGUAUGUACCCUGGCCGUUUGCCGUACCCGACUAUGCUUGUGUUCGUUGGCGCACACGCGCCUACGAUAGUUGCAUUUGCGUCUGUGUGCGCCGACGGGGUGGGCGGGAGUGUGUCUGCGGGUGCAUUACGUUGAUUGCUGGUCGCGGCCUCUCCGGAGAACACAGAGAACAUCGAAGAGGUUCGGCGGGCUGAAGAGGGCAGGGACGAAGACGGUCGGGAAACCGGCAGCGAGGGCGAGGAGGAAGAAAAAGGAAAGGGGGCCUUUCCUCUCUCCGACAGAUUUAACAUGUAAUAAUAGACGACUGAUACAUCGAGAGCUACAAUUUCGAACUUUGAUUUGCAUCCGAAACGGCGCCAAAUGCGAAAUACAAUAAAAACUAACUUCAGAAAUACGCAUUUGGCAACUUUCCCCUCAACGUAGCAGGCAAAUGAGGUAUUGAAUUACUAUUUUAAAUAGUAGUUUCGCGUUUAAUAUUCGUAUCGCGUGCCCAAAGUACAAGAGAGAAUCUAUCUAUAACAUUUACACGAAGAUUGCAGUUGAAGCAAUAAUUUUCAGCAGAAGAAUAGAUA